GCUCAGGUGGUUUAGUUGGUUAUAAUGUCCGCCUCACACGCGGAAGGUCGCGGGUUCGAACCCCGCCCCGAGUA
rfam:Ectocarpus siliculosus strain Ec 32, whole genome shotgun sequence assembly, chromosome LG05